AUGAGGAUUAGUGCGGCUUUACCUUUGUGUGAGCUGCGGACCAGGUUAAGUAGCUUAUGCGGACUGGUAUGAAAGAAGGAAAUUGUGGAGCUGUGACCAAGAGCAACUUGGUUAUUUUCUCCUGAGGGGACAUACUGAGUGCUUGUUUGUGGUAAAACCUGCUGUUCGACGCCGCUCAAAACUGCUGUGCGCUUUUCCCCGUCCAACCCGGAGGAUCCGUUCAGCGGACAAGAAUGAGGUCCUUGUCAACCUGUCACUGAAGAUGGUUCAGCGAAGGCCCUCUGCGAUUAUGCUUCCUCCUGUGGUUAUGGUUGCACCCAGUAAGCAAUCAGGAAUGUCCUCCUUCUCCUGCCUAUGACAUGGUUUAACCCACGUAUGAUCUGGUCAUCAUGAUGGCCUCCAUGGUUGCCAAUGGAAACCGAGAUGGGCAGGCUCUGGAUUUGAAAGGGGUGGAUCCAGAGACCUGCAUGAUUGUGUUCAAGAACCACUGGGCUCAGGUAAAUGCCAGCGCUAAAUC